UUCUCUAAGAAACCAGAUCCCAGAAGGGGGCUCUCUGCUGGGCCCCAGAGCAUUUUUUGUGUGAACUGGAAACAGGGCUGAGGCAGGCCUCUUGCAUCCCUUCUCUGCCUCACUGAGGUCUUUGGGGUGCAAAUGUACAGCCCAGGAGAAAGUGGCCCAGGGUCUUAGGUGGCCCCCAGCCAAGAGAAGGACGCUCCUCUGGUCUGUGGGAAAAGGCCCCAGCAGGAGAUAGGGGGAGUGGGCAGCCCACUGCUUGCAAGGCUUGAGGUCUCCUGGGCCAGUGUGUCGCUCAGGGGGUGGCAGGGGGGGCCCUGAAGGGCAGGAGCUGCAGAGGCAGAGGGACUCCUGUUGAGGAAAGCUACUGGAAUCACUGUGUGGUUAGACCUAAGGAAGAACUUCCUGCCUGCUGGUCGGCGGGGCAGCCGAACCCUAUGAUUCCUCCACAAUCCCUCCUCUUGCCGGCUCUCCGUGGUUUAGACUGGUUCGUGCCAAGGUACUGACUGUGGAAGGCACAGGGCUUCCCUCGCUGGCUGACCUUCCUUGGCUGCCUGGGAGCCCCCAGUCCCCAUGCCUGACUCUGAGCUGACCCUCCACACACUGACCCUGGGGCCUCAGCCUCCAAGGGGUGUGGGGAAGUGAGUAGUCCCAGUUCAGUAUACCUGAAUGGCCCUGUGGGGACGGGAGAAAGGCACACCCUCCCUGCAGAUCUGGGCACCACCUUGAUCCCAGCAUUGUCCUUCAUUUCACAGACAACACACCUGCCCCAGGACCCCCUCCCCACUGAUGAGCUGGGCCCCUCUGUGACCUCAGACUCUUCCUUCUAGGCAGGAACAGGUUGGGGGUCCCGUCUCCAAGCCCUGCCUGGACCCCGCACCUCCAGUCCCAGGCUAGCUGAUUCAGGGCUCCUUGCCCUGCAGCCCAAGGGCCCUCUCACCACCAUUGCCCACCCCACCUCCCUGGGCUCCUGGGAUCUCAGCCUUAGGUCAAGGCCCAGCCCUGGUGCACCCUCCCCCAUGGGCCAGGCCCUCCAUGCCUUUGCCCGCGCCAGUCCCUCCACGGGGCACGCCCUUCCCGCUGUGGCUACUCCUCAAUCUUAGAGGCCCCUCCCAAGCCCAUUCUCACAGAGCUUCCUAGGCCUGCCCUGGCCUGACACAUAGUGCAGGACAGUGUCCAGGCCUGUGUCCCCAAGACCCAUCUGGGGUUCAAGCCACAUCUUGGGCCUAUACACAGCCAGCUAGUGAGUGAGCGAGCGAGUGAGUGAGGCCCUGCAAGAUGGUCAUCUGUCUUGUCCCGCAAAGGCCAAGACAAACGCCGUGUCAGCGGCAGCCUCUCCAACCCAGUCUGUGAUGGCCAGUGGUGGUCAGUGAGGGCUGGGCCGCGAGGCUCACAGCUCAGGCCGCACCCGCCGGUUUCACAGACCGGCCAGGAAGCUCCCAGGGCGAGGGCCUAGUCGUGUCCUCCCCAUGGGCGAGCAACCCUAGGCAGGCACCAGAGGGCGCUCGCGGUCUGCAGAAAACGCUGGCUAAGGGGGGAGCGCGGAAAGAGACAGGAAACGUCUGCAGGGAGCAACUCUGUGUCCUCAUCAGGAGACCCCCUGUUGCUGGCCCCUCAGGAACUAGGGAUCAGCAUGUCCUACCCAGUGAAGCCCUCCUGGGGGUCUUCUCUGCCCAUAGGAAAUGCCUCCUUCUAUCCUGUCUUCCUGUCACCACCACCCCCCAGGGUACUGAGGGCCAGCUGGACAAAAGGUGGUGAGAGAUGGGCCAGGUGGAUCCCCCGCAGGGGUGCCAGGUGCCGUGUGCUGCCAUGGAUGUCUCUGGGAUAUCAGUCAGCCCCUUCUCUGUUGGCCAAGGAGCCACUGCUAACAGGAGUUGUCCCAGAGGGUCACACUCUUGAGUCUCUUGUGGCAAGGUCAACAGGAGGACCAUCUGGAGCACGGAGAGCAUCCCCAGAUCAUAGGCAGAAGGGUGUUUCCUGCUAAGGCCAGCCAGAAGACUCCACAGACCUCCCAAGUCCUGGCUAGACUCAAUCCUGCUGUUAUAAGUCUCCCUGGGUCCUCCCUGAAUCCUCCCAGAGCCCUCCCUGAAUCUUCCCAAAAGCUCCCUGAACCCUCCCCAGGUUGUCUCCUGGAGUCCUCCCAGUCUUUCCUGGAUCCUCUCCACAUCCUCCCUGAGUGCUCCCAGAAUCUUCCUGCAGUCCUCCCCAUGUUCUCUCAGGCGUGGGCUGCUGUACCUGGAUUGGCCCUAGCAGGUGACUCGGGCUGGAGUUUGGUUGACACCAGUGGAGCCACAAGCCUGCUGUGCACAGGUGUGAUGGCAGGCCUGUGAGGGUUCGGGGCUGCAUGGCCUUGCUCCCUUUGCACUGGUGUCUGGAUGUGCUCAGAGGCCCCCUGGGUCCCCAGGCCUCUGGGACAAGGCCGGUUGAGUCUCAAAAACAGGUAGGACCCCAAGCAGAGCCAAGGCAUCACCAGCCCCAGCCCUUGUUCCCGUGUGCCCCAUCUCCCGAAGCACUCCCCUGUGUCAUGCGGUACCAGCUCUGCCUCUGACUCCCCAUGCAGUGGCCCUAAGGCCACCCCUUGUCAGUGUCCUCCUGGGCCUCCUGGGGCGGGCAAGAACCUGCUCACACAGGUACAUGCACAGCAAGCAUCGGAGGGUCUCCUUCCCUGGGAGACAUCACCGCCCCACAGUGGGUCACCCUCAAGGCUAACCACUCAGCUUCCGGGUGGCAAGCCUGCAGAGUGGCCCCAGGCAUGCCGGGCCACCUUCUAAGUGUGCCAGUCCCACCCUGUGUGUGUGUGUGGAUGUGCCAGAGAUGUGCAGUCACACUUCCAUCUGUGUCCCAUGCCCCCAUGAGUGUGUCCUCACACCUCUUGCCCCGCCUCCCUGCUGUGUGCCCCUCGUAGCAGCUUGGCCCUGCCCGCUGCACCAUGUGUACACAGAGGCUUAUUUUCUCUGCCUUUCGGGCCAGGGGCGUGCUCGUAAAUUGUGCAGUCGACGACACAUUUAUCCCGCGGGCGGCUGGCGGUGUGAAUUUAUGGCUGCACCCCCUUCCUGGCUGAGGCAGGACAGGGGCCGGGAUACCUCUCAGGCAGGAACCUCCAGUCCACUCCACUGGGCUGUUGUGGGGCCAUGGGGGCGGGCUGGGCCGGGAGGGCUUAGGAGUGCUCCCAAGGUCUGGUCUUGCACAGAAACCCUGCAACUUCAGGGUGCUUGGGGCAAUGAGAGGCGAGGCCACUCUGCCUGGGUGAGGGCUGGGGGCACAGUGGCUGCCCACGUGCCAGAGGCAUGGAGGCCCAGAGCCCAGCCUAAUGUCCCAGCCUCCAUGCCCCCUUCCAGUCGGCUUCUCAUCUUCCCACCUAAGAAAGAGGGGACAACUUGGAUGCCCCAGGGACAGCAGGUGUGGGGGUGGCUCCCCUCAGGUGCUGAGUCAGCCACCCACUGCCACUAGGCCCACUGGGAGUACUGAGAUCUGGGGAGGACUGUCAGAAAGGGUGGGGGCCUCGAGGGCAGCUGGGGCUGCACACAGGGAAGAGGAGCGGAGAUACUGUCGAAUCAGAGCAGAGAGCCCCUCAGAGCUCACCUGCCCUCCUCUGCCUUGUAAAGAUGGGGAAACUGAGGCCCAGGGAGAGCAGAGGUCCCAGGUCACAUGGGUAGGAUAACAGAGCCUCAAGAUCCUGGAUUCCUGCUCCCUAGUAUGCAAUAAAGGGGGUCCUAGGCACACCCCUCCCCACGGAGCCACCUUUGUCCUGCAAAGUCUGGAGGUGGGGCCUCCGGCUGAAGCCUCAACAGGGAGCUGAUGGAGCAAAUUGGCAAGCUGGUCCCAUCAGGGCCACAGCUGGGGCCUGGGACCUGGCUGCCUCCCCUCCGUCCGUCGGUCUGUCUGUGUGCAGGGUCGGGUCUCCAGGGGACCCUCUGUCGGCUCUCAAGCUCCCUCCCAUCUCGGCCCCAGCCCCCCCUCACCGCCCGCUGUCAGGAUGAGCGAUGGCCGUGCCCCUCCCCGGCCCUCGGCCCCAGGCCCGGUUCCCGCUCAUUAGCCACUGACACUGUUUGCUUUCCCGCCAUGGACGCCCACCCCGUCACAGGCCAUUUCUCCCGGCGCCCCCCACCCCUGAGGACCUGCCCAGGGGUCCAGGGUGCCGGGUCGAGGGGACUGCCGGGUGCCAGGCAGGACCUGCAUUAUGCUCCCGGAGCAAUGGCCACAUGGAGUGCCGGCCCCACCCUCACCUGCACCCCAAGAGACGGGGAGCCACGGGCCACCCUGAGUCUCCCAUGGCCCUGCCCACAUCACACAGGCCAGACACAGCCGCCGUGAGACUGGGCCGUGCCUCGCAGCUUGGAUGGCUUGGUGCUGCACACACUGGGAGGGUCUCUGAUGACAAGUACCUGGCCCACUGCACCUAUCUCUGUCUCUCUUUAUCACUGCCCCUAUUUCUGUCUUUGUCUCUCUCCUUGGUCUCUGCCCCUAGCCCCAUCCUGUGGAAUGACCACUGAGCCAGCAGCCCAUUCAGAAAGUACAUCCCUCACCUGGAGCCCCUCUGUCCCCUCAGGCAGCCCCAGUACACAGCCUGGGGGGUGGGUCCUGAGGCAGCAGGCACCCCUCCCUCCUGCACCACCCCCGCCCCCAAUAUGGCCACAGCUGGGCGGCAUCAGGGCCCGCAGGCCAGUGGCAGCCAGUCCUUCACUUAAAAAUGUGUUUGUGAUUUCGGCAGCGAGGCAGAUAACGGUGACGAAUGGCCCGCCUGCCCCCCAGGGCCCUCAGCCCAUCUGGUUUGACUUUGGCCUGUCGGCAGUGCCCUUGGGCCUCACUCCUGCCCUCUGGCAGUGCCCUCCGAGUGAGGCACCCCUCAACCUUUGCACACUCUGGUUCCUUUGCUGGAAAUGCCCCUCCUCUCCACCCAUCUGUCCCCCCAUCAUGGGCUCCCCUGGCUAUGCCCAUAGGAGCCACCCAUGCAACACUCGGGGUGGCAGGUCCUGGGCAGUGCUGGGGUUUGCAGGGUGGGGGAGGGCACAGGCCCAGCAGGGAGGGGGCAUGCCUUGCCUGGGCCCUGCAUCCCCUCUGUCUAGGAGGGAAUAGUGAGUGCCCACCUAAGGCCAGAGGGGCCGAGGCUAAGGUGACGGAGUGGGCCAGGACCGAGAGAGGUGGCCCGGCGGCCAGGGCAGGGCCUAGCCCUGUGAGACAGCCCAUGUGGUCAUUGUCAGGAGGAAUUUCUGACAGGGCUCGGGACCCUCCUGACCAUCGAUUAUCCAAGCAGGAGGAGUGGCUUCCGGGUCCGGCUGUGGGCUCAGCUGGGAGGUCACUGAGGUCAAGCCCGAGUGCCCCUCCUCCUCCAGUCUCCCCUUCUACUCCCUUGGGGCUCCCCAGUUGGGCAGAGGUGCCUGGAAGGUUGCUCCUGCCCAGUUUGAAUCCUGGCCAGCUACCACAGGGAGUGGUCAGGGGUCCACUAGGGACUGGAGCUCAUGCAUUCCUUAGCACAACUUCCCAAUCAACCCCUGCGUGCCCAGGUCACAGACGGAGUCAGACCUGGCCCUCAGAGAGGAGAUAAGGAGAGGUGGAGGUGCUUAGAGCUCCCCUGGCCCAUCUCAGGGGUUGGGGAGGGGCUUGUGUAGAGGGAGGGCAUUCGGGCAGGAUAGAGGAGGCAGCCCUCCCUGGGGGUCUGGGGUCGCCUCCAGGAGAGGCACUGCUCCAUUCCCCACUGCACCCUCCAGGCCCACUCCCUGCCCUGUGGCGAGGACAGCUGUAGGGGGAGGGGAGGGGCAGCGCCGUGUCAGGACCCCCACCCCCUCCUCCAAAGCAGGAAAAUCCCUCUCCGUUAGUAUCACAUUGUUGAGAAUUAACUUUGUUGAAAUAAAAAUUGGUCGUGGUAUUAA